UCAGGAGGGCAGGGGAUCGCUUCCGGUCAUGAGCCGGGGGAGGAAAGUCCGAACUCCACAGGGCGCGAUGCCGCGUAAUAUUGUUUUUGAACAGUAGUACACGCGGGCGGUAUGCUUGCAAAAUCAUAUUGACGGCCAGUGCAGCAGAAAACAGACCGCCUUGCUUCGGCUUGGUAAGGGUGAAAAGGUGGGGUAAGAGCCCACCGCUCAAGGAGUAAUCCGCGAGGCACGGUAAACCCCAUCGGGUGCAAGGCCAAAUAGGGAACCUCGGAGCUGCCCGCUCUAUCAUGGUUCCGGGUAGGGCCGCUAAGAUAAAUGAUCCUCUCUCCUGAUUUAUCAGGAUAGACAAAAUUCGGCUUAUCGCCCUCUUGAAACC
rnacentral:RNase_P_RNA from 1 species